GGAAAUGUGGGCUUCAGGUAAGUAUGUUGAAACUGUGGCUUUUCUAAAGUGUAGAUGUUUAGUACAAGGUAGAGAUCUUAUUGGGUCCAAAGAAAUGUACCUGACCUAAAAUGAUUCGAAUCACUUUUUACUCGAACCCAACUAUUUUUUUCUUUUAAAGAAAGACCCAACCCAAGACUUGAGUCCAACCCAAUCAAGUGGCAAUUUUUUUAACCCGCAUGUAAAUUGAACUAACGUGUGUGCAGUUUGCAGCCCCACAGCACCCUGAACAAGACAGAAUUGGUGGCCUCACAACCAAUCUGGUACACUGCUCCAUUUAUUCCGUGGUCCUUAAACCAGAUUUAUUCUGACUUUGCAUCUCAGAAUUCUGACUUUGCAUCUCAAAAUUCUGACUUUACAUCUCAGAAUUGUGACUUUGUAUCUCAGAAUUCUGACUUUACAUCUCAGAAUUCUGACUUUAUAUCUCGGAAUUCUUACUUACAUCUCAGAAUUCUGACUAAAAAAAAAUUUACAACAUGGCGGAAAGGUAUAGAGAUAGAUUAAUCUCUUUAAUAAUUCACGCAAAAAACAUGAUUCACACAUGCGUACACAAUUUCACAUGCAUAAAAUCUAACUCACAUACACAAAAAUAUAUAUAUUCGCAAAAAAACGAUGUACAUACACAAAAUAAAAAUACAUAUUCAUAAAAUACGUUUCACAAACGAAAAAAAAAAACUAUUCACAAAUGUAGAACAGUGUAUGAAAAGUUUUAAAUUUUGAGUUUAUCAUGACUGUGAAUGUACGAAUCGUCUUUUUCGUGAGUGAAUUGCUUUGAAUUCGUGUGUGUGUUUUUUGAGACUUUGGUGGCAGCGCACUUCUCCAACGUGGGUCACUCGUACUCUUUAGCCAAUCAGAUGCAAGCUUACCAUUCAACCAAUCAUAACCCGCCAAGAGCGCAGCAUUCAAGGAGCUCAGCAUUGCACACCUUUUGCGCAAUCAACAGAAAUGAAGCUUCACGUCAUCAACCAAGCAUGGCGAAUGAAGUGCGGGAUAUACGUAUUGUAUUAAAGGACUCUCGUCAUGUAAUACAGUCACAGAGCAGUGGUUCUUGUGUUGCAGGGACAGCACAUUGUUGCACUACUCAGAACUUGGCAUCAGUGAAGUUCACAGCUGUACUGAAACGGUUGAGAGCUGACACAGACCUAGAACAAUGAGGUUCUGUCGGCAAGACCCAAAGAAAUGAGCUUGCUGAUGUAUUAAGGAGUACCUUUUAAAAGAGUGUCACCUGUAAGCUGCCUGACCUGACAGUCCUCCAAGAAGCAGAGGCAUUUAAGGACUUUGCCAGUGCUGUAGCCCCUUCGGUCACCACUCUCAGGAUGUCACAUGUCAAUUCUUUGGUGGAUUUUGGCUUUGGCAGAGUUUAGUAUGGAAGUGUGCUGUCAUACUAGCAGCAACAAUACGCAACCUUAAUCGCAAUCAAGAUGCCCCAUAACUACAACCUCUGCAACUACUUGGCUACAGCCUUGACACACCUGUUUGCUUGUUAGUUAUUUAUAUUUACAUGUUUACAUUUCUGAAGUGUAGGCAGUUAUUUACAGUAUAUUUAAAUACAUUACUGCAUGGUAAAUGUUCAAAGCCACAUGUUUACAUUCCUGCAGUGCAUGCAACACUGAAUAAAAGUUACUUACAGUAUAUUUACAUUCA